rnacentral:rRNA from 1 species
ACGGGGUAGUAAUGUGUCGGAACGUGCCCAGAGGACGGGGAUAGCGGCGGGAAACUGCCGGUAAUACCCGAUGAUCUCGAGAGAGCAAAGGUGUGAUUCCGCCUUUGGAGCGGCCGACAUGGUAUUAGCUAGUUGGCGGGGUAACGGCCCACCAAGGCUGUGAUGCCUAGGGGAUGUGAGAGCAUGAUCCCCACCAUCGGGACUGAGACACUGCCCAGACACCUACGGGUGGCUGCAGUCGAGAAUCUUCGUCAAUGGGCGAAAGCCUGAACGAGCGACGCCGCGUGCGGGAUGAAGGCCCUUGGGUUGUAAACCGCUGUCGAGGGGGAUGAAGGCUGGAAGGUACUCCUUCCAGUUUGACAGAGCCCUGGAGGAAGCACGGGCUAAGUUCGUGCCAGCAGCCGCGGUAAUACGAACUGUGCGAACGUUAUUCGGAAUCACUGGGCUUACAGGGUGCGUAGGCGGCUAUUCAGGUCAGGUGUGAAAGCCCUCGGCUCAACCGAGGAACUGCGCUUGAAACCGGAUGGCUCGAGUCAACUAGAGGUGCACGGAACUUCCAGUGGAGCGGUGAAAUGUGUUGA